rnacentral:rRNA from 1 species
UGCAUGCAGCGUACAUACCAUGCAGUCGUACAGGUACCGUAAGUGGUGGAUUAGUGGCGAACGGGUGAGUAACACGUGGGCAAUCUGCCCUUCACUCUGGGACAAGCCCUGGAAACGGGGUCUAAUACCGGAUAACACUCUGUUCCGCAUGGAACGGGGUUGAAAGCUCCGGCGGUGAAGGAUGAGCCCGCGGCCUAUCAGCUUGUUGGUGGGGUAAUGGCCUACCAAGGCGACGACGGGUAGCCGGCCUGAGAGGGCGACCGGCCACACUGGGACUGAGACACGGCCCAGACUCCUACGGGAGGCAGCAGUGGGGAAUAUUGCACAAUGGGCGAAAGCCUGAUGCAGCGACGCCGCGUGAGGGAUGACGGCCUUCGGGUUGUAAACCUCUUUCAGCAGGGAAGAAGCGCAAGUGACGGUACCUGCAGAAGAAGCGCCGGCUAACUACGUGCCAGCACCCGCGGUAAUACGUAGGGCGCAAGCGUUGUCCGGAAUUAUUGGGCGUAAAGAGCUCGUACGCGGCUUGUCACGUCGGAUGUGAAAGCCCGGGGCUUAACCCCGGGUCUGCAUUCUAUACGGGCUAGCUAGAGUGUGGUAGGGGAGAUCGGAAUUCCUGGUGUAGCGGUGAAAUGCGCAGAUAUCAGGAGGAACACCGGUGGCGAACGCGGAUCUCUGGGCCAUUACUGACGCUGAGGAGCGAAAGCGUGGGGAGCGAACACGAUUAGAUACCCUGGUAGUCCACGCCGUAGACGUUAGGAACUACGUGUGGCCGACAUUCCACGUCGUCAGUGCCGCAGCUAACGCAUUUAGUUCCCCGCCUGGGGACUACUGCCGCAAGCUAAACUCAAGUAUUGACGGGAGGCCCGCGCAAACAGCCGAGCCUUGUGGCCUUAAAUCGAAGCAACGCGAAUAAACCUACCAUGC